ACGACGCUGGCGGCGUGCCUAAUACAUGCAAGUCGAACGGUCUUUCUAUGGAAGCUUGCUUCCACUGAGAAGAUAGUGGCGAACGGGUGAGUAACACGUGGGUAACUUGCCCAUAAGAGGGGGAUAACAUCCGGAAACGGGUGCUAAUACCGCAUAGUUUUCUUGAUCGCAUGAUCGGGAAAGGAAAGACGGCCUUUGUGCUGUCGCUUAUGGAUGGACCCGCGGCGUAUUAGUUAGUUGGUGAGGUAACGGCUCACCAAGACGAUGAUACGUAGCCGACCUGAGAGGGUGAUCGGCCACAUUGGGACUGAGACACGGCCCAAACUCCUACGGGAGGCAGCAGUAGGGAAUCUUCCGCAAUGGACGAAAGUCUGACGGAGCAACGCCGCGUGAGUGAAGAAAGGUUUUCGGAUCGUAAAACUCUGUUGUCAGAGAAGAACAAGUUGGAGAGUAACUGCUCCAGCCUUGACGGUAUCUGACCAGAAAGCCACGGCUAACUACGUGCCAGCCGCUGC
rnacentral:rRNA from 1 species